rnacentral:lncRNA from 1 species
AUGGCGGCCUUCUCGUCCUCGGAGGGAGCUCACACACGGAGGGACCGCGACUUCUUACGCGCCCUGACAGUGUCCCAGCAGCGGAGCUGCUGCGCCCUGCGCACAACCAAUCGGUUUUUCAUCGCCGCGUCCUUAUUGUACAGAGUGCAGGCCGAGGCGCUCGGCGGCUUCCAUAGAAGGACGCAGUGUUUCCCGACGAGGGCCCUGGCACACGCCGCCCCGAGCAGCAGCGGACACCGGGCGGCACCGCCGGACCACACGAACGCACGGCAGGCACAGGCUCCGGCCCUGCAUGCCUCCUCACGCCCCUCCCCUCCGCCCCUUGUCCUAAGUAUGGCCACCCUUCCCCGUUCGGCCAUCUGAUUGGUUUCACGCUGCCUAUUAUUGGCGCGCCCUUCAUCCGGGCGCGUGGGAGGCGUGACGUCGCUCGACGCGACGCGACGCGAGGCCGGUGAUGGGUGAGCGUGCACGUGACCCAGGCUGCGGCGCGGGCUGAGGGAGUGGAGUUGGUGUGGUGCUUGGCGUGCGUACGGGCGUGGGGGUCCCGUAGGGCUGGGAGGGACUGCGAGGCGUUCCGAUGGAGCUGCGGGUGCCUGGACGUGUUUGGGGUCCGCGUGGGGCUGGGAGGGGGGCGGGGAAGCGGGGGGUCUCCGUGAGGUCCGGGGGAGCGCGGGGCUGUUAUGCGGGCUGUUAUGCGGUUAUUCCCUGAACGCGGGAAAGGGCGGGUCUCCGCUGCCCACGGGGGCUGUUCUCCCCGCGAUUUCCCCCUCCUCCCUUUCGUUUCUCUCUUGCGACAUGCUGCCUCUCUUUCACCACGGUGGUGCUGGGCGAGGCCUCGGAGAGCGACUCGGAGCCGGAGCCGGGGGGGACCGCAGCCGGACCCGGGCGCGUGCUGAAAGUUUCCUGGGGAGGCGUCGAGACUGUAGGAGGAGGAGAAGAGAGGCUGGUACCUAAAUACUGCG